GGAAGGUAAAACGUAAUGUCAGAAUUGCCGUUCGGACGAAUCCCUUUCGCCGGCACGGUUGAUUUCCGUUAUGAACCAGCACAAAAAACAAAGCUGCAAAUUGUGCGCCAGUGGCGGUACCUCGAUCAAAGCAUUCCCUGAAUAAAUCAUAUCACAUUAGCCGAGCCAGCUGGCGGAAGCAUAUGCAUAAAGGUUACUAGCUUACUAUUUUCAACGACAACUGUUUAUUUAUUAUACUGCUUCAAAUACCUUCGACGAAAUCAAAUGUAACCAUACCAACUGUAAAUUACGAGCCACCUGUUAACUCCACCAUUUUGGUGCGGACCAAGGAAAGUGAAGUGGAAGGUGGUAUCCAAACAACACUAAACAUUGACUACAGUUUCGCCGGCACGGUUGAUUGCCGUUAUGAACCAGCACAAAAAACAAAGCUGCAAAUUGUGCGCCAGUGGCGGUACCUCGAUCAAAGCAUUCCCUGAAUAAAUCAUAUCACAUUAGCCGAGCCAGCUGGCGGAAGCAUAUGCAUAAAGGUUACUAGGUUACUAUUUUCAACAACAACUGUUUAUUCAUUAUACUGCCUCAAAUACCUUCGACGAAAUCAAAUGUAACCAU